rnacentral:rRNA from 1 species
AGUGAACGCUGGCGGCAGGCCUAAUACAUGCAAGUCGAACGGCAGCACAGCAGAGCUUGCUCUGUGGGUGGCGAGUGGCGGACGGGUGAGGAAUACAUGGGAAUCUGCCCAGUCGUGGGGGAUAACGUAUGGAAACGUACGCUAAUACCGCAUGCGCCCUAAGGGGGAAAGCCGGGGACCGCAAGGCCUGGCGCGAUUGGAUGAGCCCAUGUUCGAUUAGCUAGUUGGCGGGGUAAAGGCCCACCAAGGCGACGAUCGAUAGCUGGUCUGAGAGGAUGAUCAGCCACACUGGAACUGAGACACGGUCCAGACUCCUACGGGAGGCAGCAGUAGGGAAUAUUGGACAAUGGGGGCAACCCUGAUCCAGCCAUGCCGCGUGAGUGAAGAAGGCCCUCGGGUUGUAAAGCUCUUUUGUCCGGAAGAAAAGCAAUCGGUUAAUACCCGAUUGUUCUGACGGUACCGGAAGAUAAGCACCGGCUAA